GCCACUAACUCAGUUGAUUAAGGAGAAGACUCGUAAUCUCAGGGUUGUGGGUUCAAGCCCCAAGUUGGGCA